rnacentral:rRNA from 1 species
AACGAACGCUGGCGGCAGGCCUAACACAUGCAAGUCGAGCGAGGACUUCGGUUCUAGCGGCGGACGGGUGAGUAACGCGUGGGAAUGUGCCCUUCUCUACGGAAUAGUCCUGGGAAACUGGGAGUAAUACCGUAUACGCCCUAUUGGGGAAAGAUUUAUCGGAGAAGGAUCAGCCCGCGUUGGAUUAGGUAGUUGGUGGGGUAAUGGCCUACCAAGCCGACGAUCCAUAGCUGGUUUGAGAGGAUGAUCAGCCACACUGGGACUGAGACACGGCCCAGACUCCUACGGGAAGCAGCAGUGGGGAAUCUUAGACAAUGGGGGCAACCCUGAUCUAGCCAUGCCGCGUGAGUGAUGAAGGCCUUAGGGUUGUAAAGCUCUUUCAGCUGGGAAGAUAAUGACGGUACCAGCAGAAGAAGCCCCGGCUAACUCCGUG